UGUAGAUGUGUGGUAUUAUUUCUGAGGGCUCUGUUCUGUUCCAUUGGUCUAUAUCUCUGUUUUGGUACCAGUACCAUGCUGUUUUGGUUACUGUAGCCUUGUAGUAUAGUUUGAAAUCAGGUAGCGUGAUGCCUCCAGCUUUGUUCUUUUGGCUGAGGAUUGACUUGGCAAUGUGGGCUCUUUUUUGGUUCCAUAUGAACUUUAAAGUAGUUUUUCCCAAUGCUGUGAAGAAAGUCAUUGGUAGCUUGAUGGGGAUGGCAUUGAAUCUAUAAAUUACCUUGGGCAGUAUGGCCAUUUUUACGAUAUUGAUUCUUCCUAUCCAUGAGCAUGGAAUAUUCUUCCAUUUGUUUGUGUCUUCUUUAAUUUUGUUGAGCAGUGGUUUGUAAUUCUCCUUGAAGAGGUCCUUCACAUCUCUUAUAAGUUGGAUUCCUAGGUAUUUUAUUCUCUUUGAAGCAAUUGUGAAUGGGAGUUCACUCAUGAUUUGGCUCUCUGUUUGUCUGUUAUUGGUGUAUAGGAAUGCUUGUGAUUUUUGCACAUUGAUUUUCUAUCCUGAGACUUUGCUGAAGUUGCUUAUCAGCUUAAGGAGAUUUUGGGCUGAGUCGAUGGGGCUUUCUAAAUAUACAAUCACGUCAUCUGUAAACAGGGACAAUUUGGCUUCCUCUUUUCCUAACUGAAUGCUCUUUAUUUCUUUCUCCUCCCUGAUUGCCCUGGCCAGAACUUCCAACACUAUAUUGAAUAGGAGUGGUGAGAGAGGGCAUCCCUGCCUUGUGCCAGUUUUCAAAGCAAAUGCUUCCAGUUUUUGCCCAUUCAGUAUGAUAUUGGCUGUGGGUUUGUCAUAAAUAGCUCUUAUUAUUUUGAGAUACAUCCCAUCAAUACCUAAUUUAUUGAGAAUUUUUAGCAUGAAGGGUUGUUGAAUUUCGUCAAAGGCCUUUUCUGCAUCUAUUGAGAUAAUCAUGUGGUUUUUGUCGUUGGUUCUGUUUAUAUGCUAGAUUAUGUUUAUUGAUUUGCAUAUGCUGAAUUAGCCUUGCAUCCCAGGGAUGAAGCCCACUUUGUCAUGGUGGAUAAGCUUUUUGAUGUGCUGCUGGAUUCAGUCUGCCAGUAUUUUAUUGAGGACUUU
rnacentral:lncRNA from 1 species